CUGACUUGCAUGAGAUGACCACGUAAACCAGACUUGAAUUUGUUUAACAAGUCUGGACAAUAGAAAAAGUAGCCAUAAGACUAAAUGAUAAUGAAUCAAAACUCUGCACAAUACACCUUAAUGUAAACUUGUGCCGGAAUUAUUAGCAUUUAUCAUCAGCAUAAUGAGUUUUGAGUGUGAGUUUAUAAUGUUAUCUUGGCUUUUUGUGAGUGAGUACAGACAGAUGAAGUGCUGUUAGUAAGCCUGGUGUUGUCAAGGUGAGCGGGGCCCGUGCAGGAGUCCUUGGGGGGUUCCUGACAGAGACAGAGCACUCUUUGUGCGGCGGCGCCCCUGCCCUGGUGGCCUGCGCGGGGCCGGGAUCGUCAGGGGACUCGCUUUCCACCAGCAUGGCCCCUUCCCGGAAUUCCUCCAUGUCAAUGUUGUGGAGCAGCAAAGACAUAAAGUAGAGCCUGAGUGUGAUGAGGGUUCCAGGCUGCGCUCUGGUCAGGUGGCUGAGCUGUGCUGUGCAACUGAAAUGGCCCAUGACUUACCACACAAGAAGAAGGCUUGAGAAUCAAGAGAUCUGGGGGCAGAGUCCAGAGCUGGGUCAAAAGUUGCAACGAUUAAACCACUUCACAGACCCACAGCUGCCUGAUUGACUUUGGUUUGGUAGAAAACUGCAGAGAUCAAGAGCAAUCCCGGCAAUAAUAAAUAACAUGUUCCUGAUUGAUGACGUACAGACAGAAAGCAGGCUAAAGCCAGUGUGGUUAUGGAGACUAUUUGAUACAGACAUCAAGUCUGAACCUUUACCUUAAAUAAAACAUGAAGAGAAAC